rnacentral:rRNA from 1 species
AUUGAACGCUGGCGGCAUGCCUUACACAUGCAAGUCGAACGGCAGCACGGGUGCUUGCACCUGGUGGCGAGUGGCGAACGGGUGAGUAAUACAUCGGAACAUGUCCUGUAGUGGGGGAUAGCCCGGCGAAAGCCGGAUUAAUACCGCCUACGAUCUACGUAUGAAAGCGGGGGACCUUCGGGCCUCUCGCUUUAGGUUUGUCCGAUGGCUUAUUAGCUAGUUGGUGGGGUAAAGGCCUACCAAGGCGACGAUCAGUAGCUGGUCUGAGAGGACGACCAGCAACACGGGGACUGGGAAACGGCCCAGACUCCUACGGGAGGCGGCAGUGGGGAAUUUUGGACAAUGGGCGAAAGCCUGAUCCAGCAAUGCCGCGUGUGUGAAGAAGGCCUUCGGGUUGUAAAGCACUUUUGUACGGAAAGAAAUCCUUGGCCCUAAUAAGGUCGGGGGAUGACGGUACCGGAAGAAUAAGCACCGGCUAACUACGUG